rnacentral:rRNA from 1 species
GACGAACGCUGGCGGCGUGCUUAACACAUGCAAGUCGAACGGAAAGGCCCUGCUUUUGUGGGGUGCUCGAGUGGCGAACGGGUGAGUAACACGUGAGUAACCUGCCCUUGACUUUGGGAUAACUUCAGGAAACUGGGGCUAAUACCGGAUAGGAGCUCCUGCUGCAUGGUGGGGGUUGGAAAGUUUCGGCGGUUGGGGAUGGACUCGCGGCUUAUCAGCUUGUUGGUGGGGUAGUGGCUUACCAAGGCUUUGACGGGUAGCCGGCCUGGGAGGGUGGACGGCCACAUUGGGACUGAGAUACGGACCAGACUCCUACGGGAGGCAGCAGUGGGGAAUAUUGCACAAUGGGCGGAAGCCUGAUGCAGCAACGCCGCGUGCGGGAUGACGGCCUUCGGGUUGUAAACCGCUUUCGCAUGUGACGAAGCGUGAGUGACGGUAAUGGGUAAAGAAGCACCGGCUAACUACGUG